GCCAGGAGCGGUGGUGCACACCCGUAAUCCCAGCUACUUGGAAGGCUGAGACAGGAGGAUUGCAAGUUUGAGGCUAGCCUGGACAACUUAGUGAGACCUUGUCUCAA
rnacentral:sRNA from 1 species